rnacentral:rRNA from 1 species
AAAUUGAAGAGUUUGAUCAUGGCUCAGAUUGAACGCUGGCGGCAGGCCUAACACAUGCAAGUCGAGCGGCAGCGGGAAGUAGCUUGCUACUUUGCCGGCGAGCGGCGGACGGGUGAGUAAUGUCUGGGAAACUGCCUGAUGGAGGGGGAUAACUACUGGAAACGGUAGCUAAUACCGCAUAACGUCGCAAGACCAAAGAGGGGGACCUUCGGGCCUCUUGCCAUCAGAUGUGCCCAGAUGGGAUUAGCUAGUAGGUGGGGUAACGGCUCACCUAGGCGACGAUCCCUAGCUGGUCUGAGAGGAUGACCAGCCACACUGGAACUGAGACACGGUCCAGACUCCUACGGGAGGCAGCAGUGGGGAAUAUUGCACAAUGGGCGCAAGCCUGAUGCAGCCAUGCCGCGUGUAUGAAGAAGGCCUUCGGGUUGUAAAGUACUUUCAGCGGGGAGGAAGGCGUUGAGGUUAAUAACCUCAGCGAUUGACGUUACCCGCAGAAGAAGCACCGGCUAACUCCGUGCCAGCAGCCGCGGUAAUACGGAGGGUGCAAGCGUUAAUCGGAAUUACUGGGCGUAAAGCGCACGCAGGCGGUCUGUCAAGUCGGAUG